AGUGUCCUCCUUAAUCAGGACCUGAUCCACCAGGUGGUCAUACUCCUGCUCGAUCUGCUGCGCCGACUGACGCAUCUCCUGCAGAUCCUCCUCCUGUGAUGGAGAAAUGAUGGUCACUCUAUAGUAAGAUGAACUGAGCCUAAGGAUGGAAAUGAAGGAAUGAGAAGGACAAGAAACGGCUGAAGAAAACAGCGAGCGUAAAGACUCACUGUGAGUCUCCCGUGCUCUCCUGCUGCGGGCGAAGAAGCACUGCGACGUCUACGACCCUCAUGGAUCCGAGGUUUCACAAAGAUGACAUAAGGCUUAAACUCGGCAGUCCUCAGGUUUGACAGGAAGUGAAGAUACACUACAGCAUCUUUCAAGUGGGGAAAAUCGAGUCGAGACGAGAGCACCUUUCAGAAGAUUAUUAAUUAAGUAGGUGGGACUGAAAAUUUAAGAGAGUUCCAAACAUCUACACAACUGUCAAUCAAUCCAGACUUUUCUGCUUAAUGUUUUGGAGGGCAGUGCUGGCUGAGCGGUUACUGAUCAGAAGGUCAGGGGGUCAAGCCUUGGUGCUGCCAAGCUGCCACUUAGCAAGGCUCUUAACACUCUCUGCUCCAGGGGUGCUGGAGGGUCAUGGCCCUGCACUCUGACCCCAACUUCCUAACAUGCUGGGAUCGGCGUUUAAACCCCCACCGCACCUCAGGCUGCACGUCCACCAGACACAUCUUGUUCUUGGCUUGGACAGAGCGGAUGGCCUCUAUACUUGUGCCGUACAGGUUGUCUUUAUACUCUCCAUACUCAAUAAACCUACAGAGCAGGAGGAAACAUAACACAGAAAGUGCAUUAAAGGACAAAAUGCAUUGAAGGAGUUUGUGAAAAAAAUAAUAAUAAUAAAGUUAGAACCCUCUGCUGUCUGAGAAGUGAAUUGCAGUUGCAAAGUAACCAAAAGUCCAACCCAUGAUGAAGCUGUGUGUGCCUUUAAGCUGCCUUUAUAUAAUAUAAAGGAGCUGAACAGAUGAACAGCUGGGGAUGGAGCUAAUUUCAGGGCCAGAAAAAUGUAAACAAAAGCUAAAAUGGAAUAAAUAAAUACAUAAAUAAAUAAAUACAUAAAUAAAUAAAUAAAUAAAUAAUGCAAGUCUGUUGCAUACUGUGGCAAUUUUGCAAAUCCUCAAUCGAUUCCUUCUACAGUAUUUUUUUAAUGUAUCGUAAACCAUUGUUGUAGGUCAGCUUUUAAAUAUUACAAAUCAUAUCUUUAAUGUACAAUAUUAACUGUCUAAUCAUUUAAUCGCUAUUCACUAACAUGCUUCAGCCUGUGUAACACAUUAUUUUCUUACUACUAGAAGGCCAACACAAAAUGGCACUUUCCACAUGUUUGACUGAAUCUUUCUAUUCAUACAGCAGCUAUGCUGUAUUUGACUUACUUCAGAAGUUAGACCUCGGCGCUUGGAACUGACCCAGAUAGAAAGUGAGAAAAACACUGACGAUGUUUAUUUAUUUGUUAGCAACAAGUUAGUCCGUUAACCGUGAUGAAUGAUGUAUAUUUCCUUCUGAAAAGACUGAACUGUAUAGUGAGUGUUAUAGAUGUAACAACUGAAUAUGUCUGUAAGUUGUAUCUCAUUUAAAGGUAUAUAUUUAAUAUAUAAGCAUUUAAAUGUUAAAUGUUUUCUUAAUUCCUUCCUUUUCGACUUUUGGAGCUAACUAGAUUUUAAAACGUUAUAACUUUACAGUCCAAAAGGCAACUUUUCCAUGUGUUU